GAUGAACGCUGGCGGCGUGCCUAAUACAUGCAAGUCGAGCGAACGGACGAGAAGCUUGCUUCUCUGAUGUUAGCGGCGGACGGGUGAGUAACACGUGGAUAACCUACCUAUAAGACUGGGAUAACUUCGGGAAACCGGAGCUAAUACCGGAUAAUAUUUUGAACCGCAUGGUUCAAAAGUGAAAGACGGUCUUGCUGUCACUUAUAGAUGGAUCCGCGCUGCAUUAGCUAGUUGGUAAGGUAACGGCUUACCAAGGCAACGAUGCAUAGCCGACCUGAGAGGGUGAUCGGCCACACUGGAACUGAGACACGGUCCAGACUCCUACGGGAGGCAGCAGUAGGGAAUCUUCCGCAAUGGGCGAAAGCCUGACGGAGCAACGCCGCGUGAGUGUUGAAGGUCUUCGGAUCGUAAAACUCUGUUAUUAGGGAAGAACAUAUGUGUAAAUAACUGUGCACAUCUUGACGGUACCUAAUCAGAAAGCCACGGCUAACUACGUG
rnacentral:rRNA from 1 species